CAUGCAAGUCGAACGAUGAACCUCCUUCGGGAGGGGAUUAGUGGCGAACGGGUGAGUAACACGUGGGCAAUCUGCCCUGCACUCUGGGACAAGCCCUGGAAACGGGGUCUAAUACCGGAUACUGACCCGCUUGGGCAUCCAAGCGGUUCGAAAGCUCCGGCGGUGCAGGAUGAGCCCGCGGCCUAUCAGCUUGUUGGUGAGGUAAUGGCUCACCAAGGCGACCACGGGUAGCCGGCCUGAGAGGGCGACCGGCCACACUGGGACUGAGACACGGCCCAGACUCCUACGGGAGGCAGCAGUGGGGAAUAUUGCACAAUGGGCGAAAGCCUGAUGCAGCGACGCCGCGUGAGGGAUGACGGCCUUCGGGUUGUAAACCUCUUUCAGCAGGGAAGAAGCGAAAGUGACGGUACCUGCAGAAGAAGCGCCGGCUAACUACGUGCCAGCAGCCGCGGUAAUACGUAGGGCGCGAGCGUUGUCCGGAAUUAUUGGGCGUAAAGAGCUCGUAGGCGGCUUGUCACGUCGGUUGUGAAAGCCCGGGGCUUAACCCCGGGUCUGCAGUCGAUACGGGCAGGCUAGAGUUCGGUAGGGGAGAUCGGAAUUCCUGGUGUAGCGGUGAAAUGCGCAGAUAUCAGGAGGAACACCGGUGGCGAAGGCGGAUCUCUGGGCCGAUACUGACGCUGAGGAGCGAAAGCGUGGGGAGCGAACAGGAUUAGAUACCCUGGUAGUCCACGCCGUAAACGGUGGGCACUG
rnacentral:rRNA from 1 species